CUUUCUCCCAUGUCCCCUCCGUCUUGCUUCUUUCCAUUUCCUUUUCUAUUUCCACCUCCCGUGCCCUCUCAUUCUUUCCUCUUCUUUCUUUUCUUCAUCCGAUCUUUCCUUUCAUCCUUCGUUGGUUUCAUUCUUAGCUUCACUUCCCCCGUUAGUUAUGGCCUCAUUUUUUACUAUAUCAACCCUGCUCUUUCGGUUGCCGCACCGCCGCUCUCUCUUUUCUUCGUGUCCGUCAGCCAUAUUAUUGUGAGCUGAUGGAUCUUCUGGUGAGUAGAUGCCCUCCAUUAUUUCCUCAAUCUGAAAAGAAACGAAGUUCUUUGGGCCACCUUUGAUGCACAAAUCAACCAAAAGAGUUAGAUUAAGGAGAAGACGUCUUUACCGUAUGGAGUAUAUGGAGUGUCGUCAAAUCUGGUCAUAUGCCUGGGUUGUCAUCAAAUUCGCUCGCGUUGCUCUCCAUUUCUUGCUUCACUAUUCCUCGCUUCUUUCAUUAGAUUAAGGAGAAGAUGUCUUCACCGUCGACCAGCUUCGGGUGACUCCACUUCUACUCUAAGUGAUGUUGGCUUCUAGAUUCUCUUGCUCUUUUGCGAUUGGUCACCAUGACGGAGCGGCAUCAUCUUUGGCAAUUAUCUCAUCGCAGGUACAUUUUAGUUCAACUGACAAAAAAUGAGGACUUAAGGCUUGGGAUAAAGGCCAUAGGCUCAAAUCCUAACUUGAGCAUAUUUCACAAUGAAUAUGUGACGUGGCACAAGUUGUUAGGUGAUGUGGUAUGACGUGACACACACAUGGCAAGGUGACUUGGCAUGUGCUGUGGUAUGAGGAGGUGCACAUGUAAUAGGUGAUGUGGGUGUCAGUUGACAUGGGAGGAGAUGGCUUUUUUUUUUAAAUGACAAAGUCAUCGCCAAAAGUCACCGCUAAAAGUUUUUAGACUACUUUUCACUAUCAAAUGGU